UUUUUUAUAUUUUUUUAAUGUUCAUGUUUUUGAAUGUUUUAUUCAAAUAAUGUAAAAAAUAAAAUAGAUAUUGACAUGGAUUGAACAAAAGAUAUAUAUUAUUUUAUGUUGCAUAAACAAAUUGGCAAAAUAGAGAUGGAAGAUAAAAAUAUGGUCAAAGUAAUAAGAGUCUAUGGUGAAUGCCUAGGAGCUUUAAGGCGAAGAAGGUCGUGGUAAGCUGCGAAAAGCUUGGGGGAGAAGCAAACAUUUAUUGAUCCCAAGAUUACCGAAUGGAGUAAUCCAACUAGCAAGAUGCUAGUUAUCUAUGAUCUAAAUA
rnacentral:misc_RNA from 1 species